rnacentral:rRNA from 1 species
AACGAACGCUGGCGGCAGGCCUAAUACAUGCAAGUCGAACGGAUGUAGCAAUACAUUAGUGGCGCACGGGUGCCUAACGCGUGGGAACAUACCCUUGAGUAAGGAAUAAUGUCUGGAAACGGACACUAAUACCUUAUAAUGACUUCGGUCCAAAGAUUUAUCGCUUAAGGAUUGGCCCGCGUCUGAUUAGCUAGUUGGUGAGGUAACGGCUCACCAAGGCGACGAUCAGUAGCUGGUCUGAGAGGAUGAUCAGCCACACUGGGACUGAGACACGGCCCAGACUCCUACGGGAGGCAGCAGUAAGGAAUAUUGGACAAUGGGGGAACCCCUGAUCCAGCCAUGCCGCGUGAGUGAAGAAGGCCUUAGGGUUGUAAAGCUCUUUCAAUAGUGAAGAUAAUGACGGUAGCUAUAGAAGAAGCCCCGGCUAAAUUCGUGCCAGCCGCCGCGGUAA